rnacentral:rRNA from 1 species
UACGGGGGGGGUAAGCGUUGUUCGGAAUUACUGGGCGUAAAGGGCUCGUAGGCGGCCAACUAAGUCAGACGUGAAAUCCCUCAGCUUAACUGGGGAACUGCGUCUGAUACUGGAUGGCUUGGAUUCGGGAGAGGAAUGCGGAAUUCCAGGUGUAGCGGUGAAAUGCGUAGAUAUCUGGAGGAACACCGGUGGCGAAGUCGGCAUUCUGGACCGAUAUUGACGCUGAGGAGCGAAAGCCAGGGGAGCAAACGGG